AUGAAUUAUGCUUAUGGAUAUGAACUUGCUAUUGUUUCUUAUGUUAAACAUGAAAUUGUUGCUAUUGCACCCACACAUGAUAGUCCUAUUAUCUUUUUGGAUUCUCCCAACUACACUAUAUCAGAGAAGUUUGCUCUUAUUACAGAUUAUAUUAAUGGGCUGCGUUUUACCAUUGCACAUGAUGAUUUUGAUGAAUAUAAUAUGCAUGUUCUUGUUUCUCCUACUUGCACUUAUUAUGAGAGAGGAACUACAUGUCUGCAUGUCUAUGUUUCCAAUACAAUAAAAUUGCAAGAAACUGUCUAUGCUAUGUAUCAACCUUUAUUAUGUGUGCAUGAAUUGUUCUUUUAUGACAUGUCGAUGCAUAGGAAGAUAGUUAGACUUCGUCAAUGCAUGAUAUAUCUUGCUUGGUGCUCACUACUAAAUUACAAACCAUUGUUAAUUAAAAUUAGCUUUGAUAUACCUUGGGAUCCAGGUGGGUCAAUUACUUCAGCACUUUAUGCCUAG
rnacentral:rRNA from 1 species